rnacentral:rRNA from 1 species
GACGUAGGGCGCGAGCGUUGUCCGGAUUUAUUGGGCGUAAAGAGCUCGUAGGUGGUUCGGUAAGUCGGAUGUGAAAUCUCCAGGCUCAACCUGGAGGGGUCAUUCGAUACUGCCGUGACUAGAGUUCGGAAGAGGAGAGUGGAAUUCCUGGUGUAGCGGUGGAAUGCGCAGAUAUCAGGAGGAACACCUAUGGCGAAGGCAGCUCUCUGGUACGUGACUGACGCUGAGACGCGAAAGCGUGGGUAGCAAACAGG